rnacentral:rRNA from 1 species
AACGCGAAGAACCUUACCUACUCUUGACAUCCUUAGAAGCCUGGAGAGAUUCGGGUGUGCCGAAAGGAACUAAGAGACAGGUGCUGCAUGGCUGUCGUCAGCUCGUGUCGUGAGAUGUUGGGUUAAGUCCCGUAACGAGCGCAACCCCUAUACUUAAUUGCGAACAGGUGAUGCUGAGCACUUUAAAUAGACUGCCGGUGAUAAACCGGAGGAAGGUGGGGAUGACGUCAAGUCAUCAUGCCCCUUACGUCCAGGGCUGCACACAUGCUACAAUGGCCGGUACAACGGGCUGCUAUUCCGCGAGGAGGAGCCAAUCCCCAAAGCCGGUCUCAGUUCGGAUCGCAGUCUGCAACUCGACUGCGUGAAGUCGGAGUCGCUAGUAAUCCCGGAUCAGCAACGCCGGGGUGAAUACGUUCCCGGGCCUUGUACACACCGCUGUA